UACGAAGGGGGCUAGCGUUGCUCGGAAUUACUGGGCGUAAAGGGCGCGUAGGCGGACAGUUUAGUCGGGGGUGAAAGCCCGGGGCUCAACCUCGGAAUUGCCUUCGAUACUGGCUGUCUUGAGUACGGGAGAGGUGUGUGGAACUCCGAGUGUAGAGGUGAAAUUCGUAGAUAUUCGGAAGAACACCAGUGGCGAAGGCGACACACUGGCCCGUUACUGACGCUGAGGCGCGAAAGCGUGGGGAGCAGACAGG
rnacentral:rRNA from 1 species